GAUGAAGAACGCAGCGAAAUGCGAUAAGUAAUGCGAAUUGCAGAAUUUCCGUGAGUCAUCGAAUCUUUGAACGCACAUUGCGCCCACUGGUAUUCCGGUGGGCAUGCCUGUUCGAGCGUCAUUAUCCUCCCUCAAGCUCUGCUUGGUGUUGGGCGUCUGUCCCCGCGUCGUGCGAGGACUCGCCCCAAAGUCAUUGGCAGCGGUCGUGCCAGCUUCUCGCGCAGCACAUUUGCGCUUCUCNNNNNNCCGGCGACCAGCGUCCAUCAAGGCCCCUUCUACAGUUUGACCUCGGAUCAGGUAGGGAUACCCGCUGAACUUAAGCAUAUCAAUAAGCGGAGGA
rnacentral:misc_RNA from 1 species